GCCAGACUCCUACGGGAGGCAGCAGUGGGGAAUAUUGGGCAAUGGGGGGAACCCUGGUGCAGCGACGCCGCGUGGGUGAAGGAGCGUUUCGGCGCGUAAAGCCCUAUCGGCAGGGAAGAAGGAGGACGGUACCUGACUAAGAAGCCCCGGCUAACUACGUGCCAGCAGCCGCGGUAAUACGUAGGGGGCAAGCGUUAUCCGGAUUUACUGGGUGUAAAGGGGGCGCAGACGGCAGCGCAAGCCAGGAGUGAAAGCCCGGGGCCCAACCCCGGGACUGCUCUUGGAACUGCGCGGCUGGAGUGCAGGAGGGGCAGGCGGAAUUCCUGGUGUAGCGGUGAAAUGCGUAGAUAUCAGGAGGAACACCGGUGGCGAAGGCGGCCUGCUGGACUGCGACUGACGUUGAGGCCCGAAAGCGUGGGGAGCAAACAGGAUUAGAUACCCGUGUA
rnacentral:rRNA from 1 species